UAGUCAUAUGCUUGUCUCAAAGAUUAAGCCAUGCAUGUCUAAGUAUAAAUAACUACACAGUAAAACUGCGAAUGGCUCAUUAGAACAGUUAUAGUUUAUUUGAUAAAUUAAAUGGAUAACUGUAGGAAACUAGAGCUAAUACAUGCCAAGGCCGUAAGGCUGCAUUUAUUAGAUAUACCAAGUAGGUGAAUCAUAAUAACUUUGCAAAUCGAAACUACGUUUCGAUACAUCAUUCAAGUUUCUGACCUAUCAUGCUCUCGAUGGUAGUGUAUUGGACUACCAUGGCAGUCACGGGUAACGGAGAAUUAGGGUUCGAUUCCGGAGAAGGAGCCUGAGAAACGGCUACUACAUCUAAGGAAGGCAGCAGGCGCGUAAAUUACCCAAUCCUAAAUCAGGGAGGUAGUGACAAGAUAUAACAACGCGAUUAAAUGUCGCGAUUGUAGUGAGGGUAUUCUAAAAAUAGCUUCGAGUACGAUU
rnacentral:rRNA from 1 species